rnacentral:rRNA from 1 species
GCUGGCGGCAGGCCUAACACAUGCAAGUCGGGCGGUAACAGGGGAAGCGUUGCUUCCCGCUGACGAGCGGCGGACGGGUGAGUAAUGCAUAGGAAUCUGCCUGGUAGUGGGGGAUAGCCCAGAGAAAUUUGGAUUAAUACCGCAUACGCCCUACGGGGAAAGCAGGGGGGACUCUUCGGAGCCUUGCGCUAUCAGAUGAGCCUAUGUCGGAUUAGCUUGUUGGUGAGGUAACGGCUCACCAAGGCGACGAUCCGUAGCUGGUCUGAGAGGAUGAUCAGCCACACUGGGACUGAGACACGGCCCAGACUCCUACGGGAGGCAGCAGUGGGGAAUAUUGGACAAUGGGCGCAAGCCUGAUCCAGCCAUGCCGCGUGUGUGAAGAAGGCCUUCGGGUUGUAAAGCACUUUCAGCGGGGAGGAAAGGAUGGUUGCUAAUAUCAGCCGUCUGUGACGUUACUCGCAGAAGAAGCACCGGCUAACUCCGUG